GAUGAACGCUGGCGGCGUGCUUAACACAUGCAAGUCGAACGAUGAAGCUCAGCUUGCUGGGUGGAUUAGUGGCGAACGGGUGAGUAACACGUGAGUAACCUGCCCUUAACUCUGGGAUAAGCCUGGGAAACUAGGUCUAAUACCGGAUAGGAGCGCCUACCGCAUGGUGGGUGUUGGAAAGAUUUAUCGGUUUUGGAUGGACUCGCGGCCUAUCAGCUUGUUGGUGAGGUAAUGGCUCACCAAGGCGACGACGGGUAGCCGGCCUGGGAGGGUGACCGGCCACACUGGGACUGAGACACGGCCCAGACUCCUACGGGAGGCAGCAGUGGGGAAUAUGGCACAAUGGGCGAAAGCCUGAUGCAGCGACGCCGCGUGAGGGAUGACGGCCUUCGGGUUGUAAACCUCUUUCAGUAGGGAAGAAGCGAAAGUGACGGUACCUGCAGAAGAAGCACCGGCUAACUACGUG
rnacentral:rRNA from 1 species